rnacentral:rRNA from 1 species
UGGGGAAUAUUGCGCAAUGGGGGGAACCCUGACGCAGCCAUGCCGCGUGAAUGAAGAAGGCCUUAGGGUUGUAAAGUUCUUUCGGUAUUGAGGAAGGUUGAUGUGUUAAUAGCACAUCAAAUUGACGUUAAAUACAGAAGAAGCACCGGCUAACUCCGUGCCAGCAGCCGCGGUAAUACGGAGGGUGCGAGCGUUAAUCGGAAUAACUGGGCGUAAAGGGCACGCAGGCGGUUAUUUAAGUGAGGUGUGAAAGCCCCGGGCUUAACCAGGGAAUUGCAUUUCAGACUGGGUAACUAGAGUACUUUAGGGAGGGGUAGAAUUCCACGUGUAGCGGUGAAAUGCGUAGAGAUGUGGAGGAAUACCGAAGGCGAAGGCAGCCCCUUGGGAAUGUACUGACGCUCAUGUGCGAAAGCGUGGGGAGCAAACAGGAUUAGAUACCCUGGUAGUCCACGCUGUAAACGCUGUCGAUUUGGGGGUUGGGGUUUAACUCUGGCGCCCGUAGCUAACGUGAUAAAUCGACCGCCUGGGGAGUACGGCCGCAAGGUUA